UACAGAGGGGGCAAGCGUUGUUCGGAAUUACUGGGCGUAAAGGGCGCGUAGGCGGCCUUCUAAGUCGAACGUGAAAUCCCCGGGCUCAACCCGGGAACUGCGUCCGAGACUGAAAGGCUUGAAUCCGGGAGAGGGAUGUGGAAUUCCAGGUGUAGCGGUGAAAUGCGUAGAUAUCUGGAGGAACAUCGGUGGCGAAGGCGGCAUCCUGGCCCGGUAUUGACGCUGAGGCGCGAAAGCCAGGGGAGCGAACAGG
rnacentral:rRNA from 1 species